UACGUAGGGGGCAAGCGUUGUCCGGAAUCAUUGGGCGUAAAGAGCGUGUAGGCGGUUUGGUAGGUCCGCUGUGAAAACUCGAGGCUCAACCUCGAGACGCCGGUGGAAACCAUCAGACUAGAGUCCGGAAGAGGAGAUUGGAAUUCCUGGUGUAGCGGUGGAAUGCGCAGAUAUCAGGAGGAACACCAAUGGCGAAGGCAGAUCUCUGGGCCGUAACUGACGCUGGAGGAGCGAAAGCAUGGGGAGCGAACAGG
rnacentral:rRNA from 1 species